rnacentral:rRNA from 1 species
AUUGAACGCUGGCGGCAGGCCUAACACAUGCAAGUCGAGCGGAUGAAGGGAGCUUUCUCCUGUCUUCAGCGGCGGACGGGUGAGUAAUGCCUAGGAAUCUGCCUGGUAGUUGGGGAUAACGUCCGUAAACGGGCGCUAAUACCGCAUACGUCCUGAUGGUGAAAGUGGUGGAUCUUCGGACCUCACGCUAUCAGAUGAGCCUAGGUCGUAUUAGCUAGUUGGUUGGGUAAAGGCUUACCAAGGCGACGAUCCGUAACUGGUCUGAGAGGAUGAUCAGUCACACUGGAACUGAGACACGGUCCAGACUCCUACGGGAGGCAGCAGUGGGGAAUAUUGGACAAUGGGCGAAAGCCUGAUCGAGCCAUGCCGCGUGUGUGAAGAAGGUCUUCGGAUUGUAAAGCACUUUAAGUUGGGAGGAAGGGAAGUAAGUGAAUACCUUGCUGUUUUGACGGUACCAACAGAAUAAGCACCGGCUAACUUCGUG